AAGUCGUAACAAGGUUUCCGUAGGUGAACCUGCGGAAGGAUCAUUAACACGUAUCCAAACGUUAAAACCCCGGCCGUGAACCUUCAUCCUGCUCUGGAAAGUUGUAGUGAUUCAGAGACCUCUGGCUACGUGCGAACAUUGGAACAGUUACAAUCGAGCGGUAGUUCUAUAGGCAAUGUUUCCCCAAGCAGUCAGUGUCGGAAAGUGUCAUUGAUUGUGCAAGGGUGGCGCUUCUACGAUUCCUGUAGACCGUACACUCCGGCAGGAGCUUUGCCAAAGGGUCCCCAUGCCCCCUAAUAACCCCACAGCUUAAUGUGAUACUCAAUGUAAUACAUUGGGUAAAAAAACCGAACAACUGUUAACAAUGGAUAUCUUGGUUCUC
rnacentral:misc_RNA from 1 species